rnacentral:tRNA from 1 species
UCCCGUGUGGCUCAGUUGGUAGAGCAUGGUGUUUGCAACGCCAGGGUAGUUCGAUUCCCACGGGGG